rnacentral:lncRNA from 1 species
AAGAAAUGCAAUAGAAACUGGCCUGACAACAAGUUCAUCACAUCUGAAUAUUCAGUAAACAUACCAUUCCUUGGAAAAUUCAACAUCAACCUCUUCAGACUAGUGUGGAGGACAGCUUAUGUGGUUAUAACAACUUUAGUAGCUAUGAUAUUCCCUUUCUUCAACGCCAUCUUGGGUCUUAUCGGAGCAGCUUCCUUCUGGCCUUUAACUGUUUAUUUCCCCGUGGAGAUGCACAUAGCACAAACUAAGGUUAAGAAAUACUCUCCUAGAUGGAUUGGGCUGAAAAUGUUGUGCUGGGUUUGCUUGAUCGUCUCCCUGUUAGCUGCUGCUGGAUCCAUCGCUGGACUGAUAAGUAGUGUGAAGACAUACAAGCCCUUCCGGACUAUCCAUGAGUGAGUUUGAGAUCCAUGCAUGAGAGUGAAAAAAUGUAACAGUUUGGUAUUUUCUUUGUAACUGUUUGGUGUCUAAAAUCCAAAUGAAAAUAUUGUAUUGCUUAAAAAGCUACAUGAAUGUCUAUGUAUCAUCCACAACUUUCAGUGUAAUACAUAUGACCCAAUAAUAGCUUUUUCAAAUUUGAUUGAUCAUGUAUAAACCAUACGAACAUAGCCCAUGUCCGAAGAGAGACAAUGAAUCUCAUGUACUUGCAGAAUCCAUUUGUUUCGUUUCUUCUUCUCUUAAGCCCUCUCCCCCUUGAUUCUCUGGAACGUAAGCUUUCGGAUCAAAAUCUCAAUUCUUUUCUGAUCUCUCUCAACGCCACAGUUCAUGGACGGAACCUGUGUGGUUUUCGUCACCGCUUUCGUCCGGUGGGUUUUCUUGGUACGAACCAUUUUGCGAUUUAUAAGAACGAAAUUUACUGUUUUUUAUUUGCGAGUUGAUAUCAUCAAGUUAUCUUUAAAUGUACUUGUACAUCAAAUUGCAUUAAUAUAUUAGGGAUCAAAUCCACAAACUAAUGUUACUCUAAAUUCUUCAAGAGAAAAGAAUUAAACAAUAUAAAAAAGUUUGUUUGUAGUUUUGAGUGCAAAAAAAAAAACAAAUGGACAGAAUGUAAAUAUGAUGUUUGAAAAAAGAGUCAUGGAAAAUUAUGAUUUGUCUUCAGUAAACGAACAUAAAUUUUGGUUGCCUGAUAGAGCACAGCAUUCUAUUGUUACUCUAAUCGAACCAGUUACAAUCUCAAGAUCUCAAGGAGACCUUGAGCCUAUACACAUAAGAUCUCUCUCAGUGUCCCACACAAUUUCCCAGUAAAUGGCCAACCUCUCUUAGACUCAUUAUUUAUAGUCUAAACGAUAUACAACUCAAGACUCAGCAAACUCUCUUGCCUAAAGUUGUUACUCCACCUCCACAUCAUCACUGCUUCUUGAUUGGAUCAGCUCAACCUUGGCACUUAUCAUUGCACCAUUAGAUGGACCUCAAACAUCUGGCAUAUGAAGCUAAAUAAAUUACCUAUCAUUUGUUAAAAAAGAGCUCAAUCUUAUUAGUGGAAAGUCUUUCAUCUAUUGGUAAAAGCGACGCAUCUACAUAAUUUUGUAUUUUAUAUGCUCAUAUAAUCCAAAAGGCGACAAAAUGGUCGCCAUCGAAUGAUCUCAAUGCGCACUCGGUCGAUUGACCAAUGUCUACAAAAAUGCGAUCUAUCCAUCAAGGGGUUGAGUGAAAAUGUACUUAAGAUUUUUAUGGGCCAUGAACACCAUAACUUUUUCCCCAUACAUGUAUGACCAUCAAAAUCUUGAGUGCAAACACAAAAGAUGCAAUUUCCAAGUCAUGAUAGGAUAAUUUUUCUCGUGCUUCCUCAACUGCGGAUAUUCAUAAGCAAUCAUGCGCUUUUCAAGUAUAAGAAACUCCAGGCUGGGGUUUAUAACUAAAAAUUUUCUUUGUGUGAAAGGAACCUAGUAAAAUGUGCUUAACAUGUAGUUUUCUCUAAACAUAAAUAGAUGUGUGUAUAUAGAUACUGACCAGCUGCAUCACCAUUCACCAAGCUUGAAGGUAUGUAUGACUAAAACCAUUAUCUUGUUUUUCGCUGUCUUGUUUUUCUCCCUGUCACUGGUUUUUAAUCAGCAAAUAAAUCACAUAAUUAGGGGGAAACUGAUGAGGUGAGUUUGUAUAUUUGAUGCUGAUGGAUAAUCGUUGAAGCAAAGAUGUAACAUUUUCAAUACGUAGGCACUAUCUUAAUGAAAAUUUCGGUACAUAUCACUUUUAAAAUACGUUUGCAUUUACUAGUUAUUGUACUAACUGGAUAGCCAUUAAUUUGAAUAAGAACAUUUUCAACUGACCUUCCACCUACGAUUAGAGUCCAAAAAAAUAGUUCGCUUUCAAUCCAAGCUAUCCAAGCUAUCCAAGCAUAAACAAUUAUAAAAUAAUUAUCAAGUUGGGAGCUCUUAACUAAUCUUCAAAGUUUUGUUCUUCCUCGCGAUGAUUACCUCUCGCCUUCUUUUUCCAUUUUGUUUCUCGCAAAUUGGGUAACAGAUUUUACUUCAAGUCUUCAACCAAACCAGCAACUAGGUCGGUCCUAAUAUUUUAGGGAUGUGAGGCCAAAAUAACUGUUUCUGCCUUUAGUUUUCUAAAGCUUAAAUUUUAUUAAUAAAUUGAAAUCUGAUACAAAACGGCGGUUUAAGGGAUACAACUCUAGUUUUUAUAUCAAAGGUUGCCACACAAUUGCAUAUUUUUUCCCAUUUUCUAACGAUGAAAAGCCUGUUAGGUAAUAACAAUAUCAAGUCUGUUCAUGUUUAUUUAUACUCGUUAAUUGUAUAUUGUACCAAAUAUCUAACUUAGAGCAUUUCCAAAAGAAACUCUAUAACUUCAAAUAUAUAAUUUUUUGCUCUUAAAAAAAGAACUUAAAAACUUUAAAUUUCGAGUUUUAAGGAAGUUUCACUACUCAAAACUCUAAAUUUGAAUUUUCAUAUGGUAUUUGCAUUUUAGUCAUUAUAAUUAAUUAUACAUCACAUUUAUGAUUCUUAAGUAUUUUUUCAUUUAUCAUUUUAAUCUUUAAAAUUUUUGUAUAUCAGAAAUAUUUCAAAUUUAAUUUUAUAACUUCAAAUUUUACACAUUAAAUUAAAAAAAAAUUAAAAUAAGAUUUAUAAUAUUGUAAGACUAUAAUUAAACAACAAAAAUGUUACAAAAGAAACUUAAUAAAAGACAUUUUAAAAAGAUGCAGAAAACACAAUUACUACGGAAAUUUAAAUAUUACAACAACAAUAGUAGUCUUGUAAAUUUUCUCCGAAACCUCUAGAAUAUUGUCCAAACAAGUUUUGUGUAACCAAACUAUUUUAUGGAAUAAUUUUGUAUUUUGCUUGUAUUAACAUUUAAUUAUUUAAUUAUAUUUUAUAUUUUAGUGUAAGAUUUUAUUAAUUAAUAUUACUGUAAUAUUUUUACAUAUGUGCUAGUUACUUAUAAAUUUUUAUGGAUUUAUAUUAAUUAUGAUAAAUAUAAAGACCACAGUGUAAAUUACAAAUAAUUUUGAAGUUAUAUUAAAAGUUUUGCUUUGGAGAAGAACACUUUGAAACUUCAAAAUAGAGUUUUGGAAAUUCUAAAAUACAGAGGUUUUUUUGGAAAUGCUCUUAUUUCGAUUAGGAUAUCGACAACAUUGAGACGAUAUCUUCGAUUAUGACAUUAGGCUAACCCGGAGUCCUUCUUUAAAGAAAAAAUAUUUAGUAAUAGCUAGUGUGGAGGACAGCUUAUGUGGUUAUAACAACUUUAGUAGCUAUGAUAUUCCCUUUCUUCAACGCCAUCUUGGGUCUUAUCGGAGCAGCUUCCUUCUGGCCUUUAACGGUUUAUUUCCCCGUGGAGAUGCACAUAGCACAAACUAAGGUUAAGAAAUACUCUUCUAGAUGGAUUGGGCUG